rnacentral:lncRNA from 1 species
GCUAACUUUAAGGGAUGUAUAGAUGUGGCACCUAGAAGCCACUGGAGACUUGAAUGGCUGGCUAUAGGUAUGACAGCCAGUAGGCUGUCUGCAGCCUGUGAAUCAGCCUGUUUUAUGCAGUCCAUUGGUGGGAAUAUUGGAUAAGCCAUGACAGGAAACUUUGACCUCCUGGGGAGACAUAAAGACUCCAAUGUAUGCUAUACUGUCUCAAACCAGGAGUUUGUUUCUAACACCAAGGUAAUAAAGGCAGGGUUUCCCCUAGGGGUAAAGGUAGGGUCCUGGUGUACUUGGUGCAGGUGCAGACUGGGUCUCAUGUAACAGUUUCCUCUGACAUUAAAACAUUUCAUCUUUCAGGAAGCUCCUUAAGCAGGAAAGUGAACAACUGGAAAUAGCUUCAGGAAGGCCCUGAAACUGAUCAGAUUCACUAGGCCACAGUAAGCAGUAAAAGCCCUUUAGAGGGACGGAAGUUUAGCUGUAAAGACUCAGACCACACCAGCUGCCAGGAGGAAGCAGAAACCAGCCAAGCUGCUUGGAAGAGGUUUAGACCAACUGAGGCACCAGUAAAGGACACUUAGUGGCUAUUCACUGAGCUCCAGGUUCCCAGCUGUGAGCUGUUCCAUGCUGGGAGUGGGCUUUGGUGCUGAACUGUCUAAUUCGAACUCUUAGAAGCAAUUCCACCCAUAUUCCUAUAAGUAACCACGAUACAACUCAUUGGUUCGCUAAGUUGGACUUUGGUAGUAUCUGUAAAAUUUGAUCUGUUGUUGGGUCUGUAUCUGGGGUGAAUAGAUGUGUGUGUUAUAUCUCCCAGGAAACGUAACAGGCUGCACCAAGUAAGGUGGUCAUGUGGAGGUGACCAGGACCCGCUGGCACAGAAAAUGGGCCUCCAGACUUCUAGGAAAGGGUGCUUGCAGCAGGAUCCUCGAGUCAGCCUGGACCAGUAAACCAGUAGCCAGUUUACAAGGGACCAGCAAGAGGCUUGGCAGAUAGAAGUGUUUACCACCAAGUCUGAGGACCUGAGUUCAAUCCUCAGAACCCACAAACGGAAAGAGAACCAACUCCUGAAAGCUGUCCCCAGACCUCUACAAGCAUGUUCUAGCAUGUGUACCCCAG